rnacentral:lncRNA from 1 species
CGGCCUGAAGCUGGGACUCGGGGACCUGAGUUCUUUCCACUGCCCUGAUCUGGCUCUGGGCCCACCCUACCCCCAAGCUCAGCCACCUGACUGAUCCCAGGAUUCCAGAGGAGACGCUGAAUCCAAUUAGCCUGUGAGG